AUGAAUUACUGUGGACCUAUUUCGAUUUUCGCUUACGGUGAUACGAUUAUGAUCUUUGCUUCUGUUCAACAGGCGCUUAAUAGUACUGGAAUUGGACUUAAUCAUGUUGCUGUAGGAAAAGAGGCCGCCAUCCGUACUGAAGGCAAUGUAAUGAAAGCUGCAGAAAGACAUUCCUUAGUGUCCAUUAACUAUGAAUUUACGUCUCCAGAUUAUGGUAGUCAUGCCUGUUCUCCAACUUCUUCCAAAAGUUCGAAUGAUACAGCCAUGGAAACCCCUCAGCCGAAGAAAACAAUCUGCUCAACCAAGUCACUUGCAUCCAGUAGUUCUUCCUUGAUCACCUCCCAGAAAAAUGGUUCUAUUAGGUUCCACCGUACAAAAUCAAAUGUUACAAGCUCCUGUAAGCUGGAUUUUAGAAAAUUCCCUGAUGUAAAAGCAAAGCACACUGUUUCACAAGCUUCUUCAUUGAAGGUAGAUUGUGAAGAACAGAAGUGUCAAAAUCUUACUUCAAGAUUCAAUGGAUACGUUUAGUUGUAGAUGUUCAAUCUUAUAAGUAAAGUCGUCACCUCUAUUCGACAGACCACCUGAUAAAAAGUUCCACAGAUAUGGUAAUUCACAGCUUGGUUCUCGGUUUAUUCCACUCUUUGAGGACUACAAUGACAACAUGGAUGUACCUGAUGAAAACAAUCAAUGAGGAUGCACUCUUGAGUCAUAGAGAGUACAAGAAUUUCUGUUCCGUCCACAAAUAACUUCUUCAGAUUGAAAAUCAACAGUCCAGUUGAUUGGAUCUUCUCCAGGUACAUUUCUCUUCUCUUUCCCUUAGCACCCCAUUGAACUUAUAUUUAACUUUUGAUCUCU